UACAGAGGUCCCGAGCGUUGUUCGGAUUCAUUGGGCGUAAAGGGCGCGUAGGCGGUCAGCACAAGUCAGUUGUGAAAUCUCCGGGCUUAACUCGGAAAGGUCAACUGAUACUGCUCGACUAGAGUGCGGAAGGGGCAACUGGAAUUCUUGGUGUAGCGGUGAAAUGCGUAGAUAUCAAGAGGAACACCUGCGGCGAAGGCGGGUUGCUGGGCCGACACUGACGCUCAUGCACGAAAGCGUGGGGAGCAAACAGG
rnacentral:rRNA from 1 species